rnacentral:rRNA from 1 species
GAUUCCUACGGGAGGCAGCAGUGGGGAAUUUUCCGCAAUGGGCGAAAGCCUGACGGAGCAAUACCGCGUGAGGGACGAAGGCCUGUGGGUUGUAAACCUCUUUUCUCAGGGAAGAAGCUCUGACGGUACCUGAGGAAUCAGCAUCGGCUAACUCCGUGCCAGCAGCCGCGGUAAGACGGAGGAUGCAAGCGGUAUCCGGAAUUAUUGGGCGUAAAGCGCCCGCAGGCGGUUUCGUAAGUCUGUCUUUAAAGAGUGGAGCUUAACUCCAUAAAGGGGAUGGAAACUGCGAGACUAGAGGUAGGUAGGGGUAGAAGGAAUUCCCAGUGUAGCGGUGAAAUGCGUAGAUAUUGGGAAGAACACCAGCAGCGAAGGCGUUCUACUGGACCAAACCUGACGCUCAUGGACGAAAGCUAGGGGAGCGAAAGGGAUUAGAUACCCCUGUAGUCCUAGCCGUAAACGAUGGACACUAGGUGUUGCACGUAUCGACCCGUGCAGUGCCGUAGCCAACGCGUUAAGUGUCCCGCCUGGGGAGUACGCUCGCAAGAGUGAAACUCAAAGGAAUUGACGG